UUGAAAUUUUAUUUUAGUUUAAAAAUUAAAUAAUUUAAAUUAUCGUAUAUUAACUAAGAAUUAAAGAUAAACUUUUAUUUAACGAUAAAUAUUAACAUAAACCUUAAAGAAAUUUAAAAUUAAAUUAAAAUAAAUUAUUAGCCAAUUAAGUGCCAGCAGCUGCGGUUACACUUAAAAUACAUUAAUUAAAUCUAUUAUAACUAUAUUUUUACUUAAAUUAAAAAACUUAACUAAGAAGUAUAAUCCGAUCUUUGAAUUUUAUUUAAAAUUCACUAGUUAACUUGAUAAAAUUUUUCGCAUAAAAGUUUAAAGUUUUACUAGAUUAAACUAGGAUUAGAUACCCUAUUAUUUAAAAAUUAAAAAUUUUAAUAAAGUAGUAAAAGUUAUUAUCUUCAAACUUAAAAAAUUUGGCAGUAUUUUAAUCUAAUUAGAGGAAUCUGUUAUAUAAUUGAUAAUCCACAUAUAACUUAACUUUAUAUAGUUUAUUUAUAUAUCGCUGUUAAAUAUAAAUUAAAAAAUUAUUUUAUUAAAAAAUUUAUUAGUUAAAAAAUCAAGUCAACACAUAAUUUAUGGUAAAGAAUUAAUGGAUUACAUUUAUUUAUAAUUAUUAGUUAUAAAAUUAAAAUUAAAUUAAAAAGGAUUUAAAAGUAAAAUUAAAAUAAUAUUUAAAAAUUGAAUAAGAAAUAAAAUAUGUACAAAUUGCCCGUCACUCUUGUUUAUAAAUAAGAUAAGUCGUAACAAAGUAAAUUUACUGGAAAGUAAAUUUAG
rnacentral:ncRNA from 1 species